CUCGUGCCGUAACCGAACGGUCGGCAGGCGAUCCGCGUCGGUCGCGCUGGGUGGUAUGGUUCCCCAGAGGCCGGUUCUUGUGCUGCCUACCCCUUCAGGGGAAGAGUUCCAAACUCGAUGUAAGCCUCCAUCCGGCGCCCUCCAAAGGGCGCGGGAGGACAACGGAGCACCCCCCGCGUUCCACCGAGCCUCCUCGGUCGCGUGGCCCGCGGGGACGUGCGAUGCUCUCGGACCCAGCGAACGCCGUGGGCGAGGACUCACGUCCCGGUCCCAAGUGAAGCAACGGUAUAACGCCGACGGCCGCUCCCGCCCCCCGACCGCCCCGGCGGCGCGGGGCGAAGGCGCGGCGUCGCUGAGGAAUGCUACCU
rnacentral:misc_RNA from 1 species